rnacentral:lncRNA from 1 species
UUUUUUUUUUUUUUUUUGUCUUUUUGUUGUUGUUGCUCUUUCUUGGGCCGCUCCCGCGGCAUAUGGAGGUUCCCUGGCUAGGGGUCGAAUCGGAGCUGUAGCCACCGGCCUACGCCAGAAUACCACAUUGCUGUGGCUGUGGGGUAGGCUGGCAGCUACAGCUUCAAUUCCACCCUUAGCCUGGGAACUUUAUGCUGCACGUGUGGCCCUAAUGAAAAAAAAUUCAUGGGGAGAGUAAAUUCCUGUUUUUAAAAAUUAAGGAAUAUUGGAGAUUUCAAUGAAAUGAGUUAAACACAUUUAAAAGGUAAUUCUUUUUCUGAAAUGUAUAAUGCUGGAAUGAUAAACAAAAAACUCUUAAUGGUUAUUUCCAAAAUUAUGAUCUCCAGUGCACUAAAGUAAUCUUUACCAAGAGAAAAGGGCAAAAAGAAAAAGAAAAAAUUCCAUCAUUAAAUUAGCUUAGAAGGUAAAGCAGUAUGUUUCUUGGUAAAUCAAGAGAGACAAUUAGCUUAUUAAGGCUUUGAGAAGUUCUACAAUGAAGAAAUGUAUUUGCUUUGUUUCAAGUGCUUUCCCCCUAAAUUUCUUUGUAGAUUUUGUUUACAGGUAAGGCAGGAUCCUGUGGCACAGCCUUUGGGGUACACUGUUCUGCAUGUUAGCACACUGGCUGCUGUCAGCCUUAGAACCACAUUUUAGUUUCUGCAACGGCUCCUUGUCGUGCCCUGCCUCAGUAAUAUCCAGAGCUAUUGCCAUUGUCUGCACUGAACUCAACUAGGCUUCUACUUACUUGCCUAGCUUCUAACCCCUGUCACAUUUCCAAUUCAGCUCCUUCCUUUCCUCCUCCCAGAAAAAAACAGAAGAGUUUACUCUGCAGCAUGAACUAUCAUCUUGCAGGCUACUUUGAUUACACUCCUCACUGGCUCAGAUCAGCCCUUGUUUCUCAAGGUGCCACAAAUACCAUGUUACACAAGCAACCUGUGCUCUGAAUCUGCCAUUGUGUGCUAUGCUUGUACACCUUCCUGAUAAUGUAUAUCAUUUCCCUCCUUAAAAAAUUUCCCUCGCCAACUUCCCCCAGUACACCCUCGCCACUCCAUGUCCUGAGAAUAGGGACCGCAGGCUUUGAACAAAACUAAGAAUUCAGAAAACAAACGUUGGUGCCCGGCUAUGAAGUCUGUAUCUAGCAGUACCAAUUCAGUCUCUCAUAUUAGAGAACAGUUUGUUUUGGCAUGUCUGAGUCUCACCUGUGUAUUCUGAUUUCAGAUCUUCCUCUGGUUAAAUUGAGUGUCAUUGUUGGCUGGCUGGAAAAAAGUAUCAUAUUGUGAUUCAUUGUGGUGACCAGAGUUGGAAAAGUACAGUUUGUCUCAAGGAAGUUAAAAAUGAACAGCAGUGUCAAAAUCCAGUGUAUACCCAGCUCUGGUGUUGCUGUGGCAAAGGCCACAGGAACGGACCUAAAAAGACAAAAAAAAAGGAAGAGGAAAAAUUUAAAAAUUGUUACCCAGGAAGAAACCUUGUGGUCAUUUAAGUCUGUGAAACAAUAAAAGAGUUUAGACAGAAUCCAGGAGAGAGCUGGGCCUCCUCACAUGAAUGAAUGGAGGCAUGAUUCACCUCUUAUAUUGGAGGAAAAAGCCAAGCAGCCCAUGUGUCUAACCUUGGGGAGCAGUGGAAUGGCCUCUUGACUCAGCUCUCCUGACUCUUCAGUGACCAUGGUUUGGUUCUGGAAGAGGAUGGAAUUGCUGAUCACCUGCAGCGUGUCAGGCACUUACUUUGACAGGUAUCCACUCCCAACAGGAGGUACUGAACAGAAUAUAGAACUGUGUCCCAGAGCUGUCAGGUGACCUGGAAGCCUAUACAGCUAGUAGGUGGUGAAGCCUGGGUUCCAAUCCCCACCUACCACAUCCCCAGUUCCCCAGUUCCCCCACAAACCUCACUGCUCCUGGAAUAGCAAUGGGCAAGAUGGUUUUUUUUAAGUUGGGUUUGUUAUUAAAAGUUUCAUUCCUAAACCAAAUUCAGGAGCAAGCUAUCUUGUUUGAAAGUAUAGAGAUAGGAUGAUGAAGCAAUUCACUAGAGAGAAGGUGGGAUUUGACUGAGGUUUUGGGGGGGCAUUUUUUGUUUUGUUUGUUUGCUUUAGGGCCGCACCCAUGGCAUAUGGAGGUUCCCAGGCUAGGGAUCCAAUCGGAGCUACAGCUGCCAACCUACACCACAGCCACAGCAAUGCAGGAUCUGAGCCAUGUCUUUGGCCUACACCACAGUUCACAGUAAAGCUGGAUCCUUAAUCUGCUGAGCACGGCCAGGGAUCAAACUCACAACCUCCUGGUUACUAGUCAGAUUUGUUUCCGCUGCGCUACAACAGGAACUCCUUGACUGUGGUUCUUAAUUAAAGGAUUUGCUCAAGGUCCUCUAGAUGGGUAGCAGAGGCCACAAUGGAAGCACUUAAGUCUGUGAAGCUCUGAAAGCUCUACAAUUCUUGUCUGCCUCACUAGCCCCCUUAAAUGUGAGUCUGUGAUUCCGUGGCCAAAAUGGGGUAUACAUUUCCAAGAGUAGGGACAAGGGAGUUAAAAUGCCAUUCCUAUUCUCUUCAAGGAUCUACAGACUUCAUAGUGCAUAUCCUUUCUCUAUGACUUCACCACCAGGAAAAAAAGAGGUAUCAGUUUGGGGCAGGAAACAAAGGAAAAGCCUUUUUCCCUAGCACUGAGACCACCCCUCCCGCCCCCCCCCCCACCAAAAAUCUCAGAAACACAAGCAGUUCUGGGAGUGAAAAUAGUAAUAAUUUAUAUAAUAAUGAUAACAGCAACUACUAGCAAAGGACAGGGUGCUUACCGUGUGUAGGCAUCAUGCUUCUCUGCCUCCUCCUACAGCCCCAUGACACAGAUACUACGUGCACACUCACUUUAAAGGUGCUGAAGAUUCAGAAAGCUUAACCAGUUUGCAAAGUCAGGGUUCAAACACAGGUGCACAGACUCCAGGUCCUGUUUCACUUUACCCCUUGUAAAUUUCCAACAAAAAAGAGAAAUUUCAUUACAAUCCCCCAUCCCGACCCUCCCAUUGACUAAGAAAUCACCAAGAGGUUAUACUGAAAGCAUACAUACCACUUUACAGACCCAUCCAAAAAUCAUUUUCCUUUAUUUUGUUUGGCAAGGAUGUCUUUAAUAAGGUGAUAGCUAUUCUUUGUGGUUGUUAUGUUGUCCCCUAAAUCAUUAAGUGACUAAGAAGAGGCCCAACCAACGAUAAUCACAUGGGUGCCAAGGAAGGAUAUCUAGUUAGCCAGAUGGAUGGAUGGAUGGACGGAUGGACGGAUAGGUAUGUAGGCAGAUGGAUAGAUAGAGAUAAAAUACACAUGUAUACAUCUUUACAUCAGUUUUCUUUAGAUUCAAGGAAAAUCCCACCAAAGAGAAAGGAUUUUCCUUCUUUCAAUAGAACUGAAAUUGAAUAACACAUUCUAUAUAGAAAUCAGGCCUCCUCACAAAUCUCAUCCUUUGAGACUCUGCACCAUCUCUGUAACCAGAACAAAAAUAGUCCUGAAAUCCAAAGGGAGAGGUUUUCUUACUGGUGUGUCCUGUCGAAUUUUAAAACAGCCCUGGCAUAUUUGCUUCUGGACUGAGAUGUCAGAAUCACUAAAAUAGAUGUCUACAGAGAAUUUAUGUUCUUCACAGAGAGAGAGAGAAAAGAGAAGAGGUGUUUGCCAUUAUUAGAGCACUAAGCUCUGGAAUGCACAGCUUUGAUCAUUACUAUGGCCUGAACAGCUGUUCCUGAACAGAUAUGAUGCUGUGGAGCCUGGAAGAACCAACUUAGAAUUCUGAAGCAUAGAUUUACAGUAAUUCCUCCUUCUACGGGAGACAUUAAGGCCGUAGCCAAGUAUAGUCAUCAACAAUUUCCUUUUUAUUUGCCACCCAAAGAAUUCAAAUCUAACAAAGGCCAAACACAAAAUUCUAAAGUUGGAAGGGGUGCAAAAGGGGACUCAGAGGUAUCUGACUUAAAAUCAGGAUCACUAGCCCUCCUUGAGGGGUAUCAGAAGGUGGCAGGAAGGAGGGUGGAUAAAGGGGGGGGGGCAUGGAGGGAAGGACAGGGAGAGAAGGGCAGUGGAAUCUGUCAAGUGCACUUCAGUGUCCAAAAGCCAGAGUGGCACCUCCCUCCACACACACACCCCAUAACCAGAACACAACCUCCCACAGCCCUGAUCAUAAUCUCAACUCUCUCCCAGGCAGAGGCAAUUUUGCAGUGAUGCAGCCGUCACCCAUAAUGGGGGGGAACUAGAAUCCUCUUGGCUGCCCUUAUACUUGUUUUAUAUAAUAGUAUUUUCUUUUUGGAAUUACACAUGAAGAGAGGAGCUCCACUGUCUUUGGGAGUUGGGGUCUAUACAUAUCUGUUUCUGAUAGGAGUUUUUGCCGUGUUUAGCACUGAAUUAAGUACUCAGUACAUUUACUUGUUGUGAGUAGCAUGAUGAUGAUGCUGUUGCUAGUAUCAUCUAUGCACUUACCAAGCAUCAACCCCUGUGCCGGACGGGGGGCAGAUGGGGGCGGCAGGGCAUGGCAGCAGGCAGGAACCCUCUGAUGCUGUUUUCCCACCUCCUGCCUGUUCUCACCGUUCCUCCAUCCAGCCUACAGGAGUUGCCACAGUGAUAGCAUCAGAGCUGAGACUCCAGGCCAGGGGCACACUGCCUCAGCACCCAGCUCAGCUUUCUUUCUUCCCAUCUUAGGAACACGGCUUCUCCCACAUGGUUGCUGGGGACCACACACUGCAGCAGAGGGUCUUGUCUGUGCUACCAACCUAAGCAUGAACUCCAAGGGGUUAGUUUUCUGGGAUCCUUCUCUGCAGGGAAAGAAGCAGGAAAGGGGAGUAGGAGCUGGGAAUAAGGCCUUGUGUCUCCCAGCUGACAGCUCUAUUAUAUUGCCUUUGAAGACAGACGAUUUUCAGUUCCUUAGUAAUUUCCCCUUUGCCCUUGUGAAGGGUGAAUUUGACCCAGGCACGGUGUGGGAUGGUAGAAGCUACUGGGGUUUCAAAGUCAGGCAAUGUUGGGCUUCCUGACUAAAGGCAGAGAUCACUGGGUUUAGGGGCAUGGCUCCAGGGUGAAACACCCCCGCCCUGGGUUUCUGUUCUUUUGCCAUCUCUGGUUGAGUGGGGUCAUAUCAUCAGAAGGGGCAAAAACUGAUGGAAUUAAGAUGGUGGAAUAGAAGGACUGGAGCUCAACUUCUCUCCUAAAAACAACAAAAUUCACAACUAAAGGCUGAGCAAUCUUCAACCAAAUGGACCAGAAACCUUAAAAAAGAUAUCCUACUCCAGAAGAAAAAGAGGAGGCCACAUCAAGAGGUAGGAGGGGCGAUUACGUGAUAUAAACAACCCCAUACCUCCUGGGUGGGAAGCCCCACAGACUGGAAACUAACUGGUUCACAGAGACUCACCUACAGGAGUGAGAGUUCUGAGCCCCACAUCUAACUCCCAUGUGCGGGGAUCUGGCACUGGGAGAAAGAGCUCCUGGAGCAUCUGGCAUUGAAGGCCAGUGGGGCUUGCAUGCAGAAGCUCCACGGGACUGGGGGAAAUGGAGACCCCUUUCUUAAAAGGCGCACACAGACUUUCACAUGCACUGGGUCCCAGGGCAGAGUGAGGUCUCCACAGGAAUCUGGGUCAAAGCUGACUGCAAUUCUUAGAGGACAUCCUGGGAAAACAGGGGUGAAUGUGGCUUGUUGUGACGGAAGGACAUUGGAAGCAAAGCUCUCGGGAAUAUUCAUCAAUGUGCCUUUCUCUGGAGGUGGCCAUUUUGGGAAAAUCUGGCCCCACCCAGAUUUGAAGCCCCAGGGCAAACAACAAUCCAGGUGGGAUCACAGCCUGGCCCCUCAGUAAACAGGCUGCCUAAAGACCCGGAAGGCACAUAGCCGCCUCUAAUCCCAUCCAGAGACUAAGCCCCACCCACCAGAGGGAUAGGAAUCAGCUUCACCUACCAGUGGGUGGGCCUCAGCCCCUCCCAUCAGGAAGCCUACAGCAGGCCCCCCAUACCGACUUCAGCCACAAGGGGGGCAGACACCAGAAGUAAGAGAGGCUACAGCUCUAUUAUCUAUAAAAAGGUCACCACACCAAAAACCUAUAAAAGUGAAAAGACAGAGAACUAUAACUCAGAUGAGGGAGAAAGGAAAAACCCCAGAAAAUCAGCUAAGUGAUGAGGGAGAAAGGAAAAACCCCAGAAAAUCAGCUAAGUGAUGAAGAAGUUCUCAGCCUCCAUGAAAAAGACUUUAGACUGUUGAUGCUGAAGAUGAUGCAAGACAUUGGGAAUAAACUGGAGGCAAAGAUGGAUAACUUACAGGAAACACUGAGAAAAGAGAUACAAGAUAUAAAACUUAAGAAGAGAUGCAAAAUAUAAUAACUGAAGUAAAAUAUUCACUAGAAGCAGCUAACAGCAGAAUACAGGCUGCAAAAGAAUGAAUAAGCAAGAUGGUGGACAGAUUAGUAGAAAUUACAAACGCAGAACAGAAAAGAG